UAAGAGAGGGAGAGAAGAACUGUGGGUCAGAGAGUAAUGGAUGCGAAGAGGUCGUAACACGUGCGGCUCCUUCAAAAUGUAUAAUCUCUGCAUAUGGUCCAAAAGGCGCACACGUUUUCACGGUGUCUUUCUUAGACCGUGACAUCUUCGGAUUGACAGAGGAAAGAGAGAGCAAAAUAAAAGUCUAGAAGACAUCUGUAUGAUUCGUGGCCGUGAUAAAUUGGAUCCGUGCAGUUACAGUCAAUCUCAAAGUCCACAACACAAAUCAUUUGACACUUGUGACAAGCUCCGCUAUAGAUCUUAUCUUAACAACCUAUCAACAAACCUCUUCUUGACUGAUCUUCAGCACACUGAGGUGAGAAUGUGGAAAAAACAGUUUGGUCUCUAUUGAAGACUUUUGACUGAAGCAGAUCUUUAUGAAAUACGAUGAUGAAAUAACGAAAAUAGUUAAGUACCUUGAAAAAGAGUCCAUCUUCAUUUUGGCAGAUGGAACACAUUUCUCUCUGCAAAAAAGAGGAUAGUGAGCCUUGAUGGAAAGUGGCGUAUGACUUGGAGGAUCAACUGGGUUUUGCAGACGCCUUCUCGAUCUUCUUAGUAACCUUCUGUUUUCAACAUAGAAUAUCAGGAGCCAGCUUGUGCUACAUUGGAACUAAUUCAACGUUAAGUGCCUCUCUUUGUUUCUCUGAAUCAGGGAAAGGCAAAGUUGGUCCUGGAAUGCCACUGUUCAGCAGAUUUUAGGUCGUACCCUAGUUUGAUAAGGGUUGGAGCUAAAAUCUGAAGGACAUCAGCACUCCAGGACCUCUGUUGUUUAUUCCUGCUUCACAUGUUACUUUUAAAGGAGAAGCUCUUUACAUAAUAAUUAUUUUCCUAUAGUUUGCACAUCCCCAUAGCAUCUUAGCUGUGUAUUUCAGCCAAACAGAGUGUAAGUGAUUGUUUAACCAAAAAUGAAAGUUCUGUCUUCAUUUACUAACCCUCUUGACAGUGCAAACCUGUAUGACUUUGUUUCACAAAAGAAGAUAUUUUGAAGAAUGUUGUGCUGCUGCUGUUCAGUUACCUACAUUCUUCAAAAUAUCUUCUUUUAUGUUCUGUAGAAGAAAGAAAGUCAUGCAGGUCUGAAGCGACAAGAGGGUGAGUAAAGAUAUGAAAUGUAUGGAUGCUUAUUACUUUUAUUUCAAUUUUCAAUUAUUUCCAUGUUAAUGUAAGAUUUUUAGAGAGGAUAAAUCCAGAGGACGGAACAAAGUGCACCGCAAGACUGGAGUGAGUCCAAAGAAUGGCAAAAUUGUCAAGAAAAAACAAGAGCAAUAAACUCAUCCUUCCUUCACCACCUCACAGAAUUUGAGUGAAAGAACUUUGAUUAGGAAUACAAAAGGAUUUUCAUGAAAAUUUUCCUGUAGGACUCUCACAGGACCAGGAGUCCAAAGGAAACCUACAGGAUUUUGUUAGGAAUGUAAUAUAUCCUGUACUAUGGGUUUUAUGCUGUUCUACAGGAUUUCUCAAUUAUUUUAUUCAUUCAUUUAUUAUAUUAAGUUAUUUAAAAUAAUUUUCUUCACAUUUGAUGCUGUUAAGUGCUGUUUGAUAAAGUUAAUUGUGUAUUCCAUUUUAAAUCUGUUCUUUUUGCAUUCCAGAUAAAAUUCUAUAAAAUUAUUUAUUUUAUAUCCAUUGCAUAUUGUAAUUUAAUGGUGAAUUCCAUUUUAAAUCAGUUCUGUGUGCAUUCCAAGUACAAUUGGCACAAUAUUUGUUUACUUUACAUUUGAUACAAUUGUUUAAAUGACAGAAGGGUUCAUUCAUUGCUGCAAAUAACAUGAAUUGUUUUAAAUGUAUUUUUGUUGUUUUAACCAGUUGUAAUGUUUAAAUUAAUUUAAAUAAAGAACACUUUUUCAA